GAUUUCAAGCUCGUUGGUCUGCGAAACCAAAGAUUCUGGGUUCGAUCCCCAGUGGAGUCA
rfam:Picea glauca, whole genome shotgun sequence.